rnacentral:rRNA from 1 species
AGAGUUUGAUCCUGGCUCAGCGCGAACGCUGGCGGCAUGGUUAAAACAUGCAAGUCGAACGCGAAAGGGGGCAACCCCAAGUAGAGUGGCGGAAGGGCGAGUAAUGCAUUCCUAACGUGCCCCAAGGUCAGGGAUAGCUCACCGAAAGGUGUGGUAAUACCUGAUAACCCGUCGGAGCCGCAUGGCUCUGCCGGCAAAGGCUUGCUGCCUUGGGAGCGGGGAAUGUCCUAUCAGCUAGUUGGUGAGGUAAUGGCUCACCAAGGCUAAGACGGGUAGCCGGUGUGAGAGCACGGCCGGCCGCAUCGGGACUGAGACACUGCCCGGACUCCUACGGGGGGCUGCAGUAACGAAUAUUCCACAAUGGGCGCAAGCCUGAUGGAGCAAUGCCGCGUGCAGGAUGAAGCCCCUCGGGGUGUAAACUGCUGUCAGGGUUUAAGAAAUCAAUGACUAGACCCAAAGGAAGAGGCGGCUAACUCUGUGCCAGCAGCCGCGGUAAUACAGAGGCCUCGAGCGUUGCGCGGAAUCACUGGGCUUAAAGGGUGCGUAGGCGGAUGUGCAAGUGCCUUGUGAAAUCCCAGAGCUCAACUCUGGAACUGCUUGGUAGACUGCAUGUCUUGAGGUCGGUAGGGGUCGCUGGAACAGUUGGUGGAGCGGUGAAAUGCGUAGAUAUCAACUGGAACGCCAAAGGUGAAGACAAGCGACUGGGCCGAUUCUGACGCUGAGGCACGAAAGCGUGGGGAGCAAACGGGAUUAGAUACCCCGGUAGUCCACGCCCUAAACGAUGCACACUAGAUCGUGGAGGCUCUGACGCCCUCAUGGUCGAAGCAAAAGUAUUUAGUGUGCCGCCUGGGGAGUACGGUCGCAAGAUUAAAACUCAAAGAAAUUGACGGGGGCUCACACAAGCGGUGGAGCAUGUGGCUUAAUUCGAAGCAACGCGAAGAACCUUAUCCAAGGCUUGACAUGCACGGAUUAGUUGGAUGAAAGUUCAAUGACACUCGCAAGAGUGGAACGUGCACAGGUGCUGCAUGGCUGUCGUCAGCUCGUGCUGUGAAGUGUCGCGUUAAGUCGCUUAACGAGCGAAACCCCUAUCAUUAGUUGCUACCAGGUAAUGCUGAGGACUCUAAUGAGACUGCCGGUGUCAAACCGGAGGAAGGUGGGGAUGACGUCAAGUCCUCAUGGCCUUUAUGCCUUGGGCUGCACACGUGCUACAAUGCGGCCGACAAUGCGAAGCAAGACCGUAAGGUGGAGCAAAUCGCAAAAAAGGUCGCCCAGUUCAGAUUGAGGUCUGCAACCCGACCUCAUGAAGUUGGAAUCGCUAGUAAUCGGGGAUCAGCUACGCCCCGGUGAAUAUGUUCCUGAGCCUUGUACACACCGCCCGUCAAGUCAUGGGAGCCGGGAGCGCCCGAAGUCGCCCUAUCUCAGGGGUGCCAAGGGCAAGCUCGGUGACUGGGACUAAGUCGUAACAAGGUA